rnacentral:rRNA from 1 species
CGUAGGGUGCGAGCGUUGUCCGGAAUUAUUGGGCGUAAAGGGCUCGUAGGCGGUUUGUCGCGUCGGGAGUGAAAACACCGGGCUUAACUCGGUGCUGGCUUCCGAUAUGGGCAGACUAGAGGUAUUCAGGGGAGAACGGAAUUCCUGGUGUAGCGGUGAAAUGCGCAGAUAUCAGGAGGAACACCGGUGGCGAAGGCGGUUCUCUGGGAAUUACCUGACGCUGAGGAGCGAAAGUGUGGGGAGCGAACAGGAUU